rnacentral:rRNA from 1 species
AGAGUUUGAUCCUGGCUCAGGAUGAACGCUGGCGGCGCGCCUAACACAUGCAAGUCGAACGGCACCCCUCUCCGGAGGGAAGCGAGUGGCGAACGGCUGAGUAACACGUGGAGAACCUGCCCCCUCCCCCGGGAUAGCCGCCCGAAAGGACGGGUAAUACCGGAUACCCCGGGGUGCCGCAUGGCACCCCGGCUAAAGCCCCGACGGGAGGGGAUGGCUCCGCGGCCCAUCAGGUAGACGGCGGGGUGACGGCCCACCGUGCCGACAACGGGUAGCCGGGUUGAGAGGUUGAACGGCCACAUUGGGACUGAGACACGGCCCAGACUCCUACGGGAGGCAGCAGUGGGGAAUUUUGCACAAUGGGGGAAACCCUGAUGCAGGGACGCCGCGUGGAGGAAGAAGGUCUUUGGAUUGUAAACUCGUGUUGUUGAGGAAGAUAAUGACGGUACUCAACAAGGAAGAGACGGCUAAAUAUGUGCCAGCAGCCGCGGUAAAAUGUAGGUCACAAGAGUUGUCUGGAAUUACUGGGUGUAAAGGGAGCGCAGGCGGGAGAACAAGUUGGAAGUGAAAUCCAUGGGCUCACCCCAUGAGCCCCUUGAACAUCUGUUUUUUUGAUUAGUGCAGAGGUAGGGGGACUCCCGGUGGUGGCGGUGGAAUGGGUGGAUAUGGGGAGGACCCCCAGUGGAGAGGGGGGCCUAUUGGCCACCACCUGCCGUUGAGGCUGGAAAGUGUGGGUAGCAACCAGGUUUAUAUCCCUGGGAAUGUCCAGCCGGUAACGGAGGAUUAUUAGGUGGGGAGGGUAUGCCCCCUUCAGUGCAGCAGUUGCCUCAAUAGUUCAUCCUGGUGAGGAGGACGGCAGCAAGGUAGCUAAUCGAAGGAAUUGGGGGGGCGCACCACCAGCAGAGCAGUAGGUGGUAUAAUUAGCAGCGAGAAGAACAUCCUCAGCAAGUCUCAUCAUCCUGAAGCGAGGGAGGCACCGUGUAUUUAUAUUAGGCCCAACAAGUCGGGCGGGGCAGUGUCGUGGUCAGCUCGUGUGAUGAGAGGGUAGAGUCUAACUACCGAGCGCGACCCCCACCGUGAGUGUCCGUUGGGUGACACGGGGAAUCCGCCCGGGCCCCCGUCGGUCAAGGGGGAGGAGGGGGGGGAGGAGUUCAAUUCUUCAUCCCCUUUAUACCUUGGGUUCCCCAGGUGUUCCAAGGGGUGGUACAGAGGGAAGCCACCCCGCGAGGGGGAGCGGAUCUCGGAAACCCGGCCCCAGUUCGGAUUGCGGGCUGCAACUCGCCCCCAUGAAGUCGGAGUUGCUAGUAAUCGUGGAUCAGCAUGCCACGGUGAAUACGUUCCCGGGCCUUGUACUCACCGCCCGUCA